AAAAAUUAAAUAAAUGAUCCAAACCAUAAAAUUAAAAUGUUUACAAAAAUUAAGUAAAUAAUCCAUCAUAGACAGAGACAAAAUAUAAAAGUUUCAAAAAAAAAAAAAGAAAGAGCAAAAUGGAGUGAUGACGAGAACAAGAUCGUCAGCAGGAGAUGCAAAUUUGUGUAGCGGGGUCUUCAACAAGAGAUAAAGAUUUGUGCAGGGGGAUCUUCAGCGAUUAUCGGUAUCAGGAUCGUAGCAGAUAAAGAGGAUGAUGAUGAGAACUGGAUCAAAUGGAGAUAAAGCAGCAACGAGAUCGUCAGCGGCUGCUGUUGUUGCCCAACUUCAGCCAUUUGAUCUUCGAUCUAGCGGCGGUGGUAAAUGAUUAAUGGGCUUGGACGGCAAUGGCUUAUUGUCAAUAAUUGAGGCUUUGGUUUAGAAAAGUGCCGGAAACAAAAAUAGACAACUAGAAACAAAAUGUCAAAACUAGAUAUAAAGGUGCCAGAAAAUUCAAUAUUACCUCAAUUUUGUUUGUGAUCCAAAUAACAAUAACGGUCGAACUAACUUAGCUUAAGAUCAACAUAAACUGCAAAAAGAAAUUGCCACGAGAAUUGAAAAGACUGUAAAGAGGUUGAGAGCAGUUGAAGAGAGAGAAAUUAGGGCCGGCUGCCCUAAUUUUUC
rnacentral:lncRNA from 1 species